CUCAUUUUUUAAAGCCUCAAAUUUUGGGGGAUUCAUUUGUAGUACAGAUGCACCAUCCAAUUAAAGGCAGUAAUGACUUACAAUACUUUUUUGUAUCAGAACACUGGGCAGUGAUCUGGCUUUUUUUUGCUUUUGUUUCAUUUUUCACUAAUGCCAGUGGAAGCAGCUAACUAAGUCACUGGGAGGUGAGCCUUCUGCAAUUCAGGUUAAUCAUGGAUAUUUAGGGGGUAUUAUUUUGCCAUGUUAUAUUAAGACUAGAGCCAUCAUGUGAAACAACAGAUGUUUUUAUUAACUCAAACAAUGAGCUUAUAUAUUUUGGAUACUUUUUCCAAAAAACAGAGGCAUGUAAUUAUUUCAACACAGCCUUUAUAUGUGCUCUGAGGUUCUUGGACAAUUUCAGUAUAAAUAUGGUUUUCAUGAAAGGGAAUCAAUACUGAACCAGGUUGAUUUUAAGAACUUAACAUUUGGGGUUAUAGAGCUAAUUUGAGAUUGACCUUCUUUAUACUUAGUCAUUGAUUGGGGGAGGGAAAAAUAAUUUCCUUACUUCCUUUCCUAUCUGUAAUUUAUUUUUCAUGUUAUAGAAGGGUUCUGGGGUAUGAAUCAGAAAUCUUAGUGUCUAGUGUCAUCCCUGUCACCAUAGCUGGCUGGGUGACCUUGGACAAGUCACUUUACCUUUCUGGACUUCAGUAAUAAAAUGAGAGGAUUACACUGGAAUAAGCACCACAGACCUUUCCUAAUGCAAAAGAUGAAGUAAACACAAAUGUGUACAGGCCCUAGGCCUACACCCCUAGAAAUGUGUGUGUGCGCCUACAAACGUGAGCGUGUACAGGCAAAAAAAAAAGCAGAAUUAUAAGUUUUCAUACAAGCACAUUCAGGAAUAAACAGAACACAUACACAAACUCACACAAAACAAACAGCUUUGGCUUCAUAUGUAUACACAUACUCUAAAAUAACUUCCAUCUUCUUGAGACAGGAUGAAUCAUUACCAUUCAUAGGCUAUGAAGCCUGUAUAAGAAGGUAGUGUGUGUCAUUAGAUUACCCCAAAUCCCAUUGCUUAGCUCAGAAGAUUCUAGCUAUGUUUGAUCACUUACACUCUCAGCAUCACAAUUCUAAGCUCACUGGGGCAUGGAGCCAAAAGCACAGGGCUCCUCCCCUUGGAUGGGGUCUUUGGGUCUUGGGAUCCUGGUUCAGGCCUCUGUCUCAGCAAUGAGCCAGAUUGGCCUUGGGCUGUGGUUUCUGUCCACUCAUGACUCUGAAAAUGGCUGUGCAGCAGCCCAGAGAGUUUCUCUGCAGCCUACAUUCUACAGGGCUGAAACUCAUUGUCACAUUUCUCUCUAGGGAUGGGGCUGAGGGGAAGGUAGAAGGUAUCCAAACUAAGAGAGACAGAAUGUAUGAAUGAAUGAAUGAAUGAAUGACCCAGUUGGUAGAAUUCAGUUAGCUGAGCUCCCAAAUUGUCCUGCAGUUCUCUGGCCCAUGAAACAAUCCUGAAUGUCUUCAUCCAAUUUCAUGUAAGUGUCUUUUAUACUGAAAAGACGCUGUGUAUGUGUGUGGGUCCCCAGGGUCCCUUUUCCACUUGUUCAAGCCCUUCUCCCUCUGCAAGGCCUGGUCAGGCACCCUCAGUAUCCCUUCCAGCUUGCUCUGGCCUCCAUGCAGCCCAUGGCUCUCAUCCUUUUGUCUUGAGCAGCUGUUUACACACAUCUGACUCCUCGCCUCUAGACACUAGGUCCCUAGCCCCUCAAUUUUACCCAAAGGCCCUGGUCUGGUGCCUUCUUGCACUAGGGAAACCUUCUAUCAAUGUUGAUUCAUUGGCCAGUCGAGCUGUCUCUCACAGGCAGCAGGCACCUGGUUACUGCCUCGGUCAGCAUGCAGUCCAGAGGCAUGGUCUUCCACAGGGCCAAAGCCUUGAGCUUAGAAGUUCUCAUAUGACCAGGGGGCAGGACACUGGGGCCUAUAGGAGUACUGACCCCCAAGGCUGAAGAAGUCUUGGCAAACACAUGCCAGGCCCGCAUCACCCUUGUCCUCAUGAUCAUUGGCACACAUUGCUUUGGGGAUUACAGAUGUUUCACAUUUGCUUUCAUUUCUGAUCUUGGCCAAAUAGGGGCAGAAUUAGACAGACCUGUUUCACUCAUUGUGCAAAUGAAGAAACUGACACUCAGAGGGACUGUGGCAGGUUUUCUAUGGAGCUAAUGCGCCUCGAGCACUGGGGCUCCUUCCGGUCCAGGUGUAUGUUCACAGGGUCAGAUGCUAUUGAAAAACUUGGAGCACAGCAUCGUUUAACUGCAGGCAUCCUGGCUGCUCCUCUUUUCUGCUCUGACUUCCCAGGGUGUCUAGUGGAUGCUGGGGGAUCUGACUCAGGCUGGGUGCCAGUGGGGUACAUUUAUGCAACUCACAGACAGAGCACACACCCAUUCCAGGGCAGAGAACACCUUUCAGGGAUGCUCCUGCCAUCCCGGGCCACCGUACUUGGCCUAUGUGUCUGGAAGCUGCAGGGCCAGAAGCUGUACAACAGCAUCUCUGGGCCCUGAGGUGCCUGGACCAGGGUGUAUGUAUAGGGAAAGAAAGAAGAGUUGAAAUCAGGGAGUCAGAAACUUAUCUGUAUAAAAUUGUGAGCAGAAGUAACAUUUAAACAAAAAGCAUUGUAGAGGUAUUGGGCAGUGUACAUAUUGCUAUUGUCUGGAUUUUGGAAUGUCUUUGGUACUUGUUAGUUUUUUCACAAAUUGUAACAUUGAAAUUUUAAUAAUUUUAAAUUAAUAAUCAUAUCUGCACCUAAUUUUGUAUCCAUAACUUUGUGUUACCACCACUACCACCAUAUGGCAAGUGUUCUAAGCUGCCAGCCCUACAAAACCUGAGUCCAUCCCAAGAACAUUCCUGGGAUGAAGUGCUGGCUGCGACCAGGUUUUCUGGGUCCUGGCUAGGGCUCCUCCCCUGCCUGCCCCAGAGGUUUUCAGCCCGUAUAUAAAUCAUGUAUUUGUACAGCACUAUGUACACAGGAGGUACUUAAAAGUGCCAUGUGCCCUUGAAGAGAUUUUUCUCCACAAUGAAAAGAAAGUCAAAGCCUUGAUAGUGACCUUGACUGGGAUGAUAAAAGUCCCUUUCUUAGAAAAAUUGGCCCAUUACACCCUGGUCUUGACCUGUCAGUCGAUCCACUCAUGGGUCUCAGGAUGGGAUGGAGCCCUAAUCCCCUCCACAGUCACUCUGUGAGACAAAAUCCUGCCUGUCACUGGGAUAGGCCGCCAGCAUGAGGACUGGGACAUCCCUGCAUGACCAACAGUGGCUAGAAAACACCAGGAAGCCACUGCAGUCACUCUGAGCAGGAGGUGUGUGCAGCCCAGAAAUCCUCCAGCCAGAGGUCAAAGUCACAGAGCCAUGGGUGCCAGUGGAGAAUGGUAUAUUGUUUGACCCAGCAAAGGCCAACAAAGACAUUUCCUGGAGAGCAUGGGGUGUUCCAGCCCACCCAGGGUCCAGCUUCUGGAGCCCCAUCACACCCCAAGGGCUCUCUAUGACACCCAGACAGGUACUAGCUCUGUGUCCAAUUAAAUGCUGCCAGGAACAAGGGCUCCCUUCCCACCGAGAAGCUGAUCCUGUUUGUUACCUAUGACCACAUUCUGGGUCUGUUCUUUAUCAAACCCACAUCUGCCUCAGCACUCUGCAGUUCACAUGAUGUGCCCAGUCUCUGCCAGGUGACAGCCAGGUGAGAGCAGUUUGUACAGGGCACUCGGCCUUCCUUUUGCUUCACUGACUGCCAUCCCCUGCAGCUACCUUGUUUCUGACAUAACCACUGUCCUGGCUCCCCUUUUUGCUUGUGCUCAACUUUAACAGCAUCUCUCUUAGAAGUAGAAGAUGAGCUCUGAGCAGCCUGAGUAUAGAAAUGACCCCCCCCCAGGUGAGGGUCUCGCCUGCUCUUAGCUUUGCCUGAGAUGCUGUCAUCUGGGGACACUGAUGGGGGUCCCUUUACCUCAAGCUCCCACAGAACUGCUCUCUGCAGCCCUGUCAUCCUGAUAUAGGUUAGGUGGGAGGGGAGAUGAUCAGAUGCAUAGUUUGCCAAAUGUUGAGGAGACAGCGCUGCCUGAGCCAAGUGGCACCACUUAAACACACCAGGUGAGACUCAGAGCAAUAUCUGAGGUCCCAGCUCAGCCCCAGCAGGGUGGGGGUAGGGGGUGAGGCUCAGCCAGAGUACAGUAUGAGGACAAGAGGACCAUGUCUCAGCCGCAGUGCACCGAGUGCCUCAUAUCUAUAGCACACUUCCCCUGGUUUUGAACAAACCCAGCUGAAAAUUUGAAAAGAUUUAAAAUGGCAUUUCCUAAGUGUUUCGUAAGAAGGUGAUAGGUGACAGGUAAAACUAAUAUAUGGUCUCAUAGGGUUGGAAAAUACUGGAAUGACCAAAAGUAAAUGGGUUUCUUUUGCUACAAAGAGCCUUAAGGAUGCUGGUGGGUAUCAUGAAUCUCCAGGCAGUGGGCACAAUGCAGUAUGAGGUUUGGGGAAUGAUCCCUUUCCCAAACCUUCUAGUUGAAAAAUCUCAUCUUUCUGCUGUUCUGGCCCACCUUUGCCCCAAAGGAAGCACACUGUCUGGGUUCAUUCAUUCUUUUAGCAAGCUUGUUCUCAGCCCCUGCCCUCAGGGCUGGUCUUGCUUGAGGGAAGGGUGGUGUUUGUGAAGCAACCCAGGAAAAACCAGACUCACCAUCAAAUGUCAGAGAGGGAGGAGACGUGGAGGGAGCCUCCUUGAGCACUUUGUGGUAGGAGACUGAAGGACACGGCAGGUCACAGGCCUUCUAAGGGACAGCGGCUGAGUGAGGUGUACAGAUCCUGGCUGCCAGGCCUGGGCUGGCUCUCUAUGAUGGCAGUUACAGUGCUGUUCUCAGUCUCUUGUCCACGUGCCGUGUCUGCCCGGCUCAACUCCGCAUCCUCAGCAGCCAGGACGGUGCCAGGACCCAGUGGCUGUCAGUGAGUAAGUGGUGAAUGAAACUAUGAUGGUGUGGUUGGGUUAGACGACUUAGCAUCUCAUCUAGAGUUAAGGUUCAGAGAGACUGCGAAGGGAGAUGGUUAGAUUCAGAGAGAGAAGUGGUCCGUGGGCUGGAACGCUGGGGAGGCACGAGCAGGGAAAAGCACACAGCCAGCAGCCAGCAAAGGGCCUCCCUGGGGGGCGUUGGGAAAGCCUGCCUCUGCAGUGCAAGCCCACUCAUCAGAGACAGCCUCGACCCGAGGCACCUUUCAAAACCUCUCCAGUCAGGACCCUGGGCCUGAACUGAAGUCAAUUGUUUUUCUGGAGCAGCCAAAGUUGCUUCUCUUUUCAGCCAAUUUACACCUUGGCCACAGACACCCAACAAUAAAGAUGAUUACAACCUAGCAUUUGCUGGGGCCCAGCACUGUACUAAGUACUUUAGAUCAUAAUCUGAGUUUAUCCUCAAAACAACCUUGUAAGGUGAGUAUAAUUAUUGUUGCCACUUGACGGAUGUCCAAUUCACAAAGCUAGUGUAGUGGACGGCAGCUGUCCAAGCUUUGAGCUGGACAGUCUAACUUCAGAGUCUUCACUCUUUUCACGGUCAGUGAUGGUAGUGGUAGUGUGUUCAUCGCUUCCUCUUAAAAUUUUUAACAUGGAAAAUUUCCAACGUAUAAAAAGCAGGGAGAAGAGUGUAAUGAAUCACUAUGUACCCAUUUCUCAACGGCAACAACUGUGGACUCAGAACCAAUCUCUCCAUCAAGACCCUCCCACCUCUGCCUCCCAUCAUCAUGGAUUGUUUUAAAAAGCAAAUAUCAUGUAUUACAUAAUUUCAUCCAUAGAUCUCUUAGUGUGCUUCUCUAAAAGAUAAAGCCAAAUCCUCAUUCUCAAUUAUAGCACUUUAUGCCCUCCUGACUGACAAGUACUUUAAGCCAGGGGCACCCUGAUCCACCUCCCCCACUAUAUUUUGGGCUACCAACAGCCUAGCCCACAGGCAGGGAUGCAGCUGGCUCAUGGGCAGCCUGUCCCCAGUGCCCACCUCACAGCCUGGCCGGAGGUCCUCGCUGACCUCCUCCAAGUGUCUUUCUAUGGCUGAAGCUGCUGCCAUCAGUGCGUCUAGAGAUGGGGAACAACUGGAUGUGAUAGUUUCUGCUAUGAAGACGGGUCUUUUCCUCUCUUCUUGCUCUCUCACUCCUUGUUGGUCACCACGAGGCCAGCAGCUCUGCUCCACCACACCCUCACAGCCAGGAGGUUUUCCUCACCAAAAGCCCAAAGCAAUGGAACCAAACACCCUUGGACUGAAACUGUGAACCAAAAUAAAUCUUUCCUCCCUUAAGUUGAUUUACCUGAGGGUUUUUUCCCCCAUAACAAUGGAAAGCUAACACAGGGAGUCUCCUCUGCCUGGGAGGGAAUGACUCCCCACUUUUGCUCAAUCUAAAACCAAGUACAGACAAGAUGAAGCCAAGGCACCUGGUGUGAUUCACUGUGCCUCUCAAAAGCUGGGAGGAUCCUGUCUCACUUUCUGCAUCUGUAGAGAUGGGACUAUAUCACCUAUCUUUCAAUGUGAUUUGAAGGUCCAAGGGGCAAGUUUUCUCUAAGAAGCUGUCUAUAAAAGAACGCAGUACCUACCAUGGCCAGCAGGUGUCGCCGUAAGACAAAGUAUCAUAAACAGCACAAGGUAGGGACUACUCCAAUGAGAUUCUUUCAAUAUCAGAUCCAGUUAGACUUGGAGGAAUUGGAAGAAAGUUCAGCUUGUAGGAUUUGUCCUUAGAAAAGUCGGUGUCUGGCUUUUUAACUGAGAGUUAAAAAGUAAAGUUUUGCAGCUUUCAAAGUAUGCUCACCUGAAGACAUCAUAGCAAGAUAGGCAUCAAUAACCCUGUUUUUUAGAUGAAGAAAUUGAGGCCUCAAAAAGCAGGUGACUUGCUAAAGUUGUGCAUAUACUAAAGGGCAGAGCAGGGACUCCAACUUAGACCUUCCAGUUCUGUAUUCUGGGCACUGUACUGAGACACAUGUGCCCUUUGGGAAAGCAGAAAAGAUACAAGUGUUCCCAAAGGUCUCUGCAAGUGAUGGGCCUCAGAUUCUGCUCUUUAGUGGAGAGGUCAACUAGAUCAAAGGCUCCCAAACUCAGCUACACAACUCCCCCCCCACACACACACACAUACGCACCAGCAACAGUGUAUGUGGGCAGAUGGAGAGAACCCCCAGGCUGCAGAAUCAGAGGCCCAGAUUUUACAUCCCCGUAAGCAGCCUUGCGCAGCCUUGGACUGGCACUGGCACCACAGGACCCUCUGGGGAAUUCUAUUCUGUACUUCAUUAGAGAAUUUGCACUUCACCUUUCAAAACACCUAACACAGUGCCUGGCACAUAUCAGUAUUCAAAUAUUCAACAAAAAUUUGCUCAGUGAAUGCCUGAAAACCAUGCAAUUACCUGGCCCAGAGGAAACCUGUGUUAACCUUGCUCUGGCCCUCAACACAAUCCUAUUCUAUGUUCCAUAGUACUUGACAGCUUUUGUGUCUGGUUUACACAAGAAUCUCACUCAGCCCCUUCGUGAUGGGGAUUAUGAUCCCCAUCCUGCAGAUGAGAAGACUCAGGGUCUGAGGUUCGGAGACAUGAUGCAGCAUGCCCAGCUUGCUGGGACAGAGCUGCACUUCUCAAGGCCUAUUCCCCACCUUGUCCGCUGCACUAUUCCGCUUUGCACUGUUUUCACUGUGAGGUCUGAAGGAAAGGAAGCGUUUUAUCUGGGGGGCUGUGAGCUUCCAGAGCUGAGGGUCCUUGGCUCAGAUUUGGAGUGGUGAGCUCAGUAGUUUGUCUGGAAGUUGGGAUGGGGGGGGCGGGGAGGAGUCUUGCCUCAUUUGCUAAAGUGGCUCCCUGCCAAGCUCCAGGGUGAGGUAGACAGGUCCCUCUGUGGUGGCCCAAAAUAUUCUUGUCACAGGUACCUCCCUGGAAAGAGCUGACUGGAGGGACCAGAGCACCCCUCCCCAACUCUGCCCAGCCCACAGGGUGGUUCCACUCUCUGGAGAGGACCCUCAGCCACCUUGGCCCCUGCCGGAUGUCUGAGCUGUCCUCCACCCAGCCUCUGCUUAGGGAAGCUGGGUGUGUGCUGCCCCCUAGUGCCUCAGGGUGAGAUGGCAGCACCAUAGAAGGUGGCAACUGUGGUUCACAACCACAUGGGCUCUGCCUUCACCUCAAGUCAUCCUUAUAGGAGAGGUUAGAACCUGAGAUGGUCUCUGCCCCAGCCUGUGCCCACGUGGCCUCAAGAUCUACUGGAAGGGACACAUGGUGUCAUUCUUUGCGGAGGGGGUUGAGAUCCCUGGAAGGUCUCCGUGAGGCAGAGUGGGGCCAGAGCAUGACUUGGGGGGCCCCAGGCUGGGCCACCCUCUGGCCAGGCCCUUCCUGGGUUGCUCAGCCCUCCCCAGUCCCAACAUAACUAAAACGCAUUCCCACGCACACCCAGGAUGUGUCAUCAAGGAACUUGUGUCCCAGAUCCUCCUGGUUCCCGCACAGUGGGCCCAGUCUGCCCUCUCCCAGCCUCAAAGGAAAUGGGGAGCCCCCAGCCAUGGCAGCAGAGGGUGCAGGGUGGGGCCC
rnacentral:lncRNA from 1 species